GACUCCGACUUCAUGGGGUCGAGUUGCAGACCCCAAUCCGAACUGAGACCGGCUUUUUGGGAUUCGCUCCACCUUACGGUAUCGCAGCCCUCUGUACCGGCCAUUGUAGCAUGCGUGAAGCCCAAGACAUAAGGGGCAUGAUGAUUUGACGUCAUCCCCACCUUCCUCCGAGUUGACCCCGGCAGUCUCCCAUGAGUCCCCGGCAUAACCCGCUGGCAACAUAGGACGAGGGUUGCGCUCGUUGCGGGACUUAACCCAACAUCUCACGACACGAGCUGACGACAACCAUGCACCACCUGUGUACGAGUGUCCAAAGAGAACCCCGUCUCGGGGGCUUUCUCGUACAUGUCAAGCCUUGGUAAGGUUCUUCGCGUUGCAUCGAAUUAAUCCGCAUGCUCCGCCGCUUGUGCGGGCCCCCGUCAACUCCUUUGAGUUUUAGCCUUGCGGCCGUACUCCCCAGGCGGGGCACUUAAUGCGUUAGCUGCGGCACGGAACUCGUGGAAUGAGCCCCACACCUAGUGCCCAACGUUUACGGCAUGGACUACCAGGGUAUCUAAUCCUGUCCGCUCCCCAUGCUUUCGCUCCUCAGCGUCAGUUGCGGCCCAGAGACCUGCCUUCGCCAUCGGUGUUCCUCCUGAUAUCUGCGCAUUCCACCGCUACACCAGGAAUUCCAGUCUCCCCUACCGCACUCUAGUCUGCCCGUACCCGAUGCAAGCCCGAGGUUGAGCCUCGGGAUUUCACACCAGACGCGACAGACCGCCUACGAGCUCUUUACGCCCAAUAAUUCCGGACAACGCUUGCGCCCUACGUAUUACCGCGGCUGCUGGCACGUAGUUAGCCGGCGCUUCUUCUGCAGGUACCGUCACUUGCGCUUCUUCCCUGCUGAAAGAGGUUUACAACCCGAAGGCCGUCAUCCCUCACGCGGCGUCGCUGCAUCAGGCUUGCGCCCAUUGUGCAAUAUUCCCCACUGCUGCCUCCCGUAGGAGUCUGGGCCGUGUCUCAGUCCCAGUGUGGCCGGUCGCCCUCUCAGGCCGGCUACCCGUCGACGCCUUGGUAGGCCAUCACCCCACCAACAAGCUGAUAGGCCGCGAGCCCAUCCCCCACCGAAAAACUUUCCAACCCACACCAUGCGAUGCGAGCUCAUAUCCGGUAUUAGACCCCGUUUCCAAGGCUUAUCCCGAAGUGGAGGGCAGGUUGCUCACGUGUUACUCACCCGUUCGCCACUGAUCCACCCAGCAAGCUGGGCUUCACCGUUCGACUGCA
rnacentral:rRNA from 1 species